rnacentral:rRNA from 1 species
GCUAAUCAAACUUGGAGAUAGCUCGUACUCCCCGAAAUGCAUUUAGGUGCAGCCUGUGGAGUUUCUUACGUGAGGUAGAGCGACUGAUUGGAUGCGAGGCUUUCACCGGCUAUCAAGUCCAGACAAACUCCGAAUGCACGUUAAGUAAGAUCCACGGAGUGAGGGCAUGGGUGCUAAGGUCCAUGUCCGAGAGGAGAAGAAUCCAGACCAUCGGCUAAGGUCCCGAAAUAAUAGCUAAGUUGACCAAACGAAGUCAGAGUGCGAAGACAGCUAGGAUGUUGGCUUGGAAGCAGCCAUUCAUUUAAAGAGUGCGUAACAGCUCACUAGUCGAGUGCUUUGGCGUGGAUAAUAAUCGGGCAUAAGCUAUUUACCGAAGCUGUGGGAUGUGUAAACAUCGGUAGGGGAGCAUUCUAGCGGCGCUGAAGGUGAGAGGACAACUCUUGCUGGAGCUUCUAGAAAAGCAAAUGUAGGUAUAAGUAACGAUAAAGGAGGUGAGAAACCUCCUCGCCGAAAGACUAAGGUUUCCUGAUCAACGCUAAUCGGAUCAGGGUUAGUCGGGGCCUAAGGGGAAGCCGAACGGCGCACCCGAUGGAAGAACCGGUUAAUAUUCCGGUACUAAUUAUGUGAGCGAUGUGGAGACGGAGAUGUGACGGUCCUGCCAACUGACGGAAUAGUUGGUUGAAGGGUGUAGGAGUUGAUCUGAGUAGGCAAAUCCGCUCGGAGAUCCGAACCUGACAGUACUCUGAGUGCUUGCACAAGGAGAUAUGGACAACUGUAACGGUGCUCCCAAGAAAAUCCGCUAAGCAUAUUGCAUGAUUACCCGUACCAUAAACCGACACAGGUGGUUGGGUUGAGUAUACUAAGGCGCUCGAGUGAUUCGCGGUUAAGGAACUAGGCAAAAUAGUCCUGUAACUUCGGAAUAAAGGACGCUCACAGUGAAGGCUGUGAGCCGCAGAGAAUAGGCCCAGGCGACUGUUUAACAAAAACACAUGGCUAUGCUAAAUCGAAAGAUACUGUAUAUAGCCUGACACCUGCCCGGUGCUGGAAGGUUAAGAGGAGAUGUCAUCGCAAGAGAAGCAUUGAAUUGAAGCCCCAGUAAACGGCGGCCGUAACUAUAACGGUCCUAAGGUAGCGAAAUUCCUUGUCGGGUAAGUUCCGACCUGCACGAAUGGUGUAACGAUCUGGGUACUGUCUCAACCGCGAGCUCGGUGAAAUUGUAGUAUCGGUGAAGAUGCCGAUUACCCGCAACGGGACGAAAAGACCCCGUGAACCUUUACUAUAGCUUUGCAUUGGAUUUGGGUAACAAAUGUGUAGGAUAGGCCGGAGACUGUGAAGCGGGUACGCCAGUAUUCGUGGAGUCGCCGUUGAAAUACGGCCCUUUUGUUAUUUGGGUUCUAACUCGCGAGAUGCGAGGACAUUGCAUGGUGGGUAGUUUGACUGGGGUGGUCGCCUCCAAAAGCGUAACGGAGGCUUCUAAAGGUUCCCUCAGCACGCUUGGUAACCGUGCGUAGAGUG